rnacentral:rRNA from 1 species
UGAACGCUGGCGGCAGGCCUAACACAUGCAAGUCGAGCGGAUGAAGGGAGCUUGCUCCUGGAUUCAGCGGCGGACGGGUGAGUAAUGCCUAGGAAUCUGCCUGGUAGUGGGGGAUAACGUCCGGAAACGGGCGCUAAUACCGCAUACGUCCUGAGGGAGAAAGUGGGGGAUCUUCGGACCUCACGCUAUCAGAUGAGCCUAGGUCGGAUUAGCUAGUUGGUGGGGUAAAGGCCUACCAAGGCGACGAUCCGUAACUGGUCUGAGAGGAUGAUCAGUCACACUGGAACUGAGACACGGUCCAGACUCCUACGGGAGGCAGCAGUGGGGAAUAUUGGACAAUGGGCGAAAGCCUGAUCCAGCCAUGCCGCGUGUGUGAAGAAGGUCUUCGGAUUGUAAAGCACUUUAAGUUGGGAGGGAGGGCAGUAAGUUAAUACCUUGCUGUUUUGACGUUACCAACAGAAUAAGCACCGGCUAACUUCGUG